CUAAGACACAGGAGCAGCUCCUCAGGGGAGAAGAUUUGGAAUCAUUAAAAUUGUAUCAAGAGUGUGAUAUCAGGAUGGAGAACAUGCUGGAAUGUGCAUUCAUAGUCUUGUGGCUUCAGCUUGGCUGGUUGAGGGGAGAAGACAAGGUGGAGCAGAGUCCUCAGACCCUGAAAAUCCAGGAGGGAGAGAGUCUCAUCCUCAACUGCAGCUACACGGUCAGCAAUUUUAACGCGCUACUGUGGUAUAGACAGGAUCCUGGGAAGGGACCCGAACUUCUCUUCCGUCUUUACUCAGUUGGGGACGAAAAGCAGAACGAAAGACUAAAAGCCACCUUGUUAAAGAAGGGAAGCUCUCUGCACAUCGCAGCCCCUAAACCUGAAGACUCAGCCGCUUACCUCUGUGCUGUGGAGACACAGUGCUCCCCAGGCACCUGCAGCCUGUACACAAACCCUGCAGCUGGGGCUCUGGAAUCAGGGCAUCUUUGGUGUUUUCCCCUCCUCGAAAAAGUAGUUACUUAGCACCCAGAACCUCUUUCCAAGUAGUGCUAUGGAGAAUGAAAUCUUGUGACACAGCCAGACAGCAGAGAUUACUGUUCAUUCUGUCCAGGAUCCUGAGUGAUACUGGUAUUCAACUUUUUCUUUCAUUAAAAUGUUUAGGUCAGAUUUUGGUAUCAAGAUGAUAACAGUUCAUUAGAUAGGUUGCAAUUUAUGGCUCCUUUUCUAUCUAUAGAAUAAUUUGUGCAAGGUUUUUAAUAAUUUUUUUUUAAUUUUCAGAAAGUUCACUAGUGAGCCAUCUAGGCACAGUUUCACUUAUGGGAGAAACUUAAUAAUCCUUCAAUUAUGGAUUCAGUUACUUUAACGGGUAAGGGGUUCUUUAUAUAUUUGUUUUUUUUUUCUUCUGAAAGU